AUUGAACGCUGGCGGCAUGCCUUACACAUGCAAGUCGAACGGCAGCACGGGGCAACCUGGUGGCGAGUGGCGAACGGGUGAGUAAUGCAUCGGAACGUGCCAUUGAGUGGGGGAUAACGUAGCGAAAGUUGCGCUAAUACCGCAUAUUCUGUGAGCAGGAAAGCAGGGGACCGCAAGGCCUUGCGCUCUUUGAGCGGCCGAUGUCAGAUUAGCUAGUUGGUGAGGUAACGGCUUACCAAGGCGACGAUCUGUAGCGGGUCUGAGAGGAUGAUCCGCCACACUGGAACUGAGACACGGUCCAGACUCCUACGGGAGGCAGCAGUGGGGAAUUUUGGACCAAAUGGGCGCGAAGCCUGAUCCAGCCAUGCCGCGUGAGUGAAGAAGG
rnacentral:rRNA from 1 species